rnacentral:misc_RNA from 1 species
UAAGUACGUUAACCGGGUUGAUGUGCAUAAUAGCGCUGAUGCCUUGGUCUUUGAACGCACAUUGCGGGCAAGGAAUAACUUCCUUGCCCUUAUCUGUGUGAGGGUUGAUUUGUCAAUUAACAAUGUUUAAGGCGUGAUCAUAGCAAUAUGAGACGCUGUUUGUCGCAACUUUUGAUGCGGAAUAGUCUAUGACUUAGCUUAGCCCGAGCGUAUCAGCCGGGUUGCGGUCUUAGAUUGAGAAGUGUCUCCUUAACUUGCAUUAGCCCUAGCGCUGUCGGUUUUACCGGCUAAUCAGCAGGGUGCAGUUAGUGGUCGUACACGGUUCUCCUCAGCUGCGUUAGCCCUAGCGUAGUCGGUUUUACCGG